rnacentral:lncRNA from 1 species
UCAGAUCUCAGACGAAACACAUCACAUUCCAUUCAAGCCCAAAUUCGGGGCUUGAUGGUGGCACACCCCGCACUCAAAAUAGAAGAAGGACCAAAAGUUCAUUCCGUCGGCAGCCCCGACCGAAAAGAAGGAAACAUAGGCACAAUACCAUCUACACCACCAGUAAUUCAAAAAGUUCAAAUUAAUAAAAGUGUAGAUACGCACUAAAAGAAAAAA